rnacentral:rRNA from 1 species
UACGUAGGUGGCAAGCGUUGUCCGGAAUUACUGGGUGUAAAGGGCGUGUAGGCGGAUCUGCAAGUCGGAUGUGAAAUUCCCAGGCUCAACCUGGGCGCUGCAACCGAAACUGCGGGUCUUGAGUGUCGGAGAGGAAAGCGGAAUUCCCAGUGUAGCGGUAAAAUGCGUAGAGAUUGGGAGGAACACCAGUGGCGAAGGCGGCUUUCUGGACGACAACUGACGCUGAGGCGCGAAAGCGUGGGGAGCAAACAGG